rnacentral:rRNA from 1 species
UCGAACGAGGUCCGGAGCUUGCUCCGGGUGCCUAGUGGCGGACGGGUGAGUAACGCGUGGGAACCUGCCCUAGAGUGGGGAACAACCUUUGGAAACGAAGGCUAAUACCGCAUACGCUCUGAGGAGGAAAGGCUUCGGCCGCUCUUGGAUGGUCCCGCGUCUGAUUAGCUUGUUGGUGGGGUAACGGCCUACCAAGGCGACGAUCAGUAGCUGGUCUGAGAGGAUGAUCAGCCACACUGGGACUGAGACACGGCCCAGACUCCUACGGGAGGCAGCAGUGGGGAAUAUUGGACAAUGGGGGAAACCCUGAUCCAGCAAUGCCGCGUGAGUGAAGAAGGCCUUAGGGUUGUAAAACUCUUUCACUGAUGAAGAUGAUGACGGUAAUCAGAGAAGAAGCCCCGGCUAACUCCGUGCCAGCAGCCGCGGUAAU